AGCCUAGACAAAGCAACUUAUACACAUAAUUCUUAAAAUAAAAACCUAAGAAAGAUGUCAGUAUUCCUUGUUUAUAGAAAAGGAGCCCAGACCCUGGGAGUUAAGUGGAUUUCUAUGAGGCCAGAUGACUGGGCCAGGAGCCACCACCUGACUGACCCCAAAGUCCAUCCUUCCGUUCACUCUGCUGCAUUGGUUGUGACCCAGAAUAUUCUGUUGUUUUUCCGGUUGUUCAGAGAAACAGAAAAAAGACUCAGAGUAGACUCUGAAAUAUCCACUCCCCAGACAUUGCUCAGAGUCACCUGGAGGUAUAAUGUGCUGGGCACGGCUGUGUGGGCAACAAGGCUCGUGGAACAGGAAGCAAAGGAUGAUGCUGAGGCACCGGCCACAUGUGCAGUGCCCAACAGGGGUCUCCUCUGGUCGUGGCUGUGCACCACUGACAGAAGGCGUUACUCACUGUGAUAUCUGAGACUACCAUGAUCACUGACAUUUCCUUAAUGAUGCACAAAAUGAAACGCACAAGUAUCCAACAAGUGACCGGAGAAAACUCUAGCAUACUUCUCUGAAUGUACACUUCAGAGAACGAGGGAAAUGCUUAAAUGUAAUAUUUUAGAUAAAUCACUGAAGACAAUUGUUAUACUAGGUACACUAUGGAUUUGAUGUUAUGUAGUACUACGUCUCUAUGGCAAGCUCAUCUCCUGGAAAACUAGAACCACAUUUGUCCACAAGCCUUUCUCACCGAGCAGGAACACAGCUUGCAGAUGAUUAAAUAGAGGCCCAGAAUGGUUAAGCAGCAAGCCCAGAGUCAGCCAUCCAACGCAGCACAGAGCUGUGAUCCAACCCACUUCCACUCAUGGCAUCUCGGCUUCAUGGGAGUUGAGGAGUGUCCCAACAGCAUGUCAGGAGAACCCAUGAAAAGGAAAAAACCCAGGACAAAUGGGUGAGAAGUUUCAAGACUAUGUUCAGCAUAGAGCAAAAGCCACUUGAGAAUUCUGCUUGCAGCCCAUUCCCAGGCAUGACAGUGCAAAGCUCAUCAGGGAGAAGGACAUGAGUAGAAGAC